rnacentral:rRNA from 2 species
AGGUGCGAUCAUACCAGCACUAAUGCACCGGAUCCCAUCAGAACUCCGCAGUUAAGCGUGCUUGGGCGAGAGUAGUACUAGGAUGGGUGACCUCCUAGGAAGUCCUCAUGUUGCACCUC